GGUUCCGUAGCUCAAUGGAUAGAGCAACUGCCUUCUAAGCAGUAGGGUGAAGGUUCGAGUCCUUCCGGUACCA
rnacentral:tRNA from 1 species